rnacentral:tRNA from 1 species
AGUUCAGUCGGUAGAACGGCGGACUGUUAAUCCGUAUGUCACUGGUUCGAGUCCAGCAGCCA